UUUGACCGUUGUUGAGCAAGGGUGCUGGUUUGACACCUACUGUUUGCACAAUUUAUAAGAUGAUCUGGGUAAAGGUGUUGGCUAAGUUUGUGGUGAGCCGAGCAGUUUGAUAAUAUCUUUAGCACAUAGACUGACCACGGAGUGAAAGAUAAAACCAAAAUAACACCCAGCUGAAGGCAGUAAACGGGGCAACACUUACAGAGAGCUUCAAGGCAGUGGAUUACACUGAGGUCCUGAACGGCUUAAAAUGUGAAAACAUGCUCUGGACUACAGCACCGCAGCUGUAGUCCUCUCCACGGCUGUCAGUGCCGUAACCAACAACCAGUAUAGCGUGAUUCAGCUCAGUGCUGCUGCAGUAUGGAUCAUCAUAAAUACCUACAAUUAAUGAAGACAUCCAGUCAUUGGGUCUGAUUCUUGAAAUGAGCAUUUGGCUGACGCUCUUAUCCAGAGUGACAAUUUGAUCA